UAUAUCCCCUCACAAAUUUUCAGUUGAAUUGGACAACCUGUUGUUGGGUUGCUGCCCUAAAAUUGGUGAUUUUAAGGUAAUUUUGCAGUUUUUGGUUAUUAUCUUGAAUACUAUUAUAGAUAGAGAUAAACUGUAGACAGCAAUAAUGUUCAGCAAAGUAAGAUCACAAAUAAGUCAGCAUGAUCAAAAUUGUAAGAGGACCCCUUAAGGAGUUAUUGCCCUUUAUAGUCAAUAUUGAACAACUUUUCGUCAUUUUUGUAACUUGUAUAAAAUCAUUUCUAAAACUACUUGGCCAAAUUUAACCAAACUUGGCCACCAUCAUAAUACUAGGGUAUCUAUUUUAAAAAAAAAGUGUCUAAUGACCCCGCCUACCAACGAAGAUGGCCGACAUCAGUAAACACAUUAACAGGGCAAGAACAUGAAAGAUAAAGGGGAAACUAUAAAAAGAAGAAAUUAUCAACAAAAUAAGAUUUACAGAGGUCAACAAAGCCUAAAUGGUCAGACAUCUCAAUUUUCAUGGUCAUCAUUCACAGAUCAAUACUGAACGGAAAACUUAAAGCUGAUAUUUUUCUCCAUGGUGCGACUUUUUUAUUAAUUUGAAAUGGAACAUGUUUUUUCCUACAUUUAUUUGAAAGAGGAAAUUUCAACAUGAUGACUAUAAACAAAAAGGAGUCAUAUCAUCACGAUCAUUGAUGCACAAGAACUUGAUCAUAUAAAUACAACAAUGUAAUUAUCAAUUGAAAGAUGGAACGAAUGAACAAGAUAUUAGAAUGUUGUUGUCCAAAUAAACUUGCUUUGUCUUCUCAUUUGAAUCUCUCCAUUCAUUAAAGAUGUACAGAGGAAGAUCUUUGAAGAACAGAUUGAAAAAAUAUUUUGUCUAAGAAUUGCAGGAAUAUUCUAGUGAAUGAAAUUAUUUAUUGACUUCACUCUUAUAUAGUGGACUGAAUAAUUGUACAUAGCAAGCUGUGAAUAAAGAAAGCAAAAACUUUAACAAAAAGUGUUUAUAUUAUAGAUUUGCAAAUAUAAGCAUACUAUUAUGUACACCACAAAGGUAUAUAUAAUUCAAAUUGUUUGCCUAUACAAGUAUUGCAAUGAACCUAUAACAAAGAAAAUCUUACCUCAUGAAAAGAGUGAACUAUUCAGUCAGAAUAUGAAAUAUUUUUUCAGUUCUAUUUUUCAUAAUAGAAUAAACAAGACAAAGAUUUCAAAACAAUAUUUUUUCAUUUAUUUAGAAAUUUCAUCAUUUUGUUUCAGUGAAAGAACUUUAUUCUUUGACUG